AGCAGCCGCGGUAAUUCCAGCUCCAAUAGCGUAUAUUAAAGUUGUUGCAGUUAAAAAGCUCGUAGUUGAAUUUCGGGAUCUGUCCAUUGGUCGGGCCUCACGGUCCGUACUGGUGUGAUGGGUUCCUACCUUCUGAAUAACCAGCAUGCCAUUCAGUUGGUGCGCUGGGGAAGCAGAGCUAUUACCUUGAAAAAUUAGAGUGCUUAAAGCAGGCUAGUGCUUGAAUAGAUUAGCAUGGAAUAAUAAAAUAGGACGGCAUGGUUCUAUUUUGUUGGUUUCUAGGAUCACCGUAAUGAUUAAUAGGGAUAGUUGGGGGCAUUAGUAUUCAAUUGUCAGAGGUGAAAUUCUUGGAUUUAUUGAAGACUAACUUCUGCGAAAGCAUUUGCCAAGGAUGUUUUCAUUAAUCAAGAACGAAAGUUAGGGGAUCGAAGACGAUCAGAUACCGUCGUA
rnacentral:rRNA from 1 species